rnacentral:rRNA from 1 species
UACGGAGGGUGCAAGCGUUAAUCGGAAUUACUGGGCGUAAAGCGCACGCAGGUGGCUGAGUCAGUCGAUUGUGAAAGCCCUGGGCUUAACCUGGGAAUUGCAGUCGAUACUACUCGGCUCGAGUAUGGGAGAGGGCAGUGGAAUUCCCGGUGUAGCGGUGAAAUGCGCAGAUAUCGGGAGGAACAUCAGUGGCGAAGGCGGCUGCCUGGCCCAAUACUGACACUCAGGUGCGACAGCGUGGGGAGCAAACAGG